rnacentral:lncRNA from 1 species
UUCACUAUUUCAUUGAGGACCUUUGGUGAUUUUCUAAAGUUUUCAAUCUCUGAAACGGAUUCUGGUCCUUUUCGAGCUGAAAUAAUUUGAGUUCAACUAGUUUUAAAGACUUUGGUUCAAGUGUUUGAUAUCGUUCUGAUUACUGGGCAUUGCUUACUGUUUCUGCUGAUUUUAAAUCUGGUUCAAGUUGAUUUUUUCUGCUGUUUCUGGGUUGGAUAUACUGCGCUAUUGUUAUUUACUGCUAUCAUGCUGAUCUUCCUCUUCUCUCCUUGUUUUAUUACUAGGCACAUUCUCGAAUCAUACUGUCAUGUAGCUGUUGAAAAAUGAAAGGCAAUGCUCGAAUAGUAUAGUUUUUUCAAUUGUGCUGGUAACUUAAUAGUCAAAUAAUAGGUAGUUUUAUGAUCUAUCUUUGUAAUUCUAUAAAGAAUGUGGACUAUAGAAUUUAUAUUGACU